CAUCUCAAUAACCCUAGCCCCUCGUCAUCUCAAUAACCCUAGCCCCUCGUCUUUGUCUUUCUUCGAUCUGUAGACAGAACAUCCCUACUAAUAUAAUAGCUCGUUAAUCGUUUUUUAGUUCUAGUUCACAAGACACACAACUACAGGUGUAGAUUAAAAUUGCAUAAGGCCGUCCACCUCCAGCCACCCCGUCGUUUGACUCCUUCCCUCUGCCGACUCAUCUGUAGCGAUCGAUUGUCAUCAUCCCACAACUGCAACUUCUUCCUACUCUCUCUCCACCGGCGGCUCCAUCAUCCAUCGCCAAAAUCGGUUUAUAGCUUUUGUCGGACAACAAAAUCCUAGUCCCUGUAUGUUCUAGAAAUCAAUUUCUGAUUUUAAACCUAAUUUAUGAUUUUGCAAUCAAAUUGCUUUUGAGAAUGACAUGCUAAUCGAUUUCCAAUUCUGCACUAUUUGUGAUGUUUUUGAAUUUCGAUUUUGAUUGGUCAAAUGGUCAUCACCAAUAUACAAAAACAUACCAAAAGUCAUCGCUCAAAAAGGUAACCAUUGUGGAAUAACUCGCUGCUCAAAAAAUAACGCUAUGUGUUUUACUUUUAUAUAAAUUAAUUGCUAUAACAUGUUGGGAAAUUAUUAUAAUUAUUGAAAUUGUGGGUUGAGGCUACUAGAUUUGGAUUAAGUUUGGAGUUAACUUCAAUUACUUUGAUCCAUCGCACCUCUUUUAUUGUUGGUAUUAAAUUAGAUAACAUAGUUUUUGUAUUUCUUUUUCAUGCAUGAUUCAAAUUGCAAUUGAGUGGUGAUGUUCUGUAGGCUCUAGUAUAGACAUCUUGGCUGAUUUGUUUAAAUUUAAUAAAGAUUAAAUAUUUAAAAAAAAUUAUAAUACAUUUUAAAUAAAUUAAUUCAAAAGUUAUUAUAGUAAUAGGAAUAUUAUAAUUAACAUUUCACAAGAUUUGAUAAUGUCUAUUUUUUUUUGGCAGGGGCAUUACAUAUGUUAGCCGAUGGAGCUAAAUGUAUUCACUCAGAAUUACAUUCUUCCAUAAUCUCAUUCUCAUAGAAUCUUAUUGUUGUAAGAAUGAUUUGUUAAAAUUUACUAUUUUUCUAUUAUAUAAAAAUUUCAACAUUGUUAAAUUGCAAAUUGUUGGUUUGUUAAGUUUCAUCAUCUGGGAAUAUGAUUGCAUGUUGCAAGUACCUUGCUUUUAAUUCUUUAAAGUGGCAAUUAAAGCUCUAACUAGCAGAAUGUAUUGUAUGUAUUCUGUUCGAAUGUAUUCUAUAUAUUCUGUCAGAAUGUAUAAAGUGA
rnacentral:lncRNA from 1 species